CUCAAAGAUUAAGCCAUGCAAGUGGUUAUUAUACCCGACAGUUUAAAUAAGUGUUAUUUACAACAAAACAAAAAAGUGAUUAUAUCACUUACGCAACUGCAGACAGCUGCUUAAUACAGUCACACUUGUCUUGACUUGGCGCAACCUUAAAAAAUUUGAAUCUUUAUACACACACACAAACAAAAUGAUUCAUUUUUUUUUUACCCACGUUUGGUGAUUUCUCUGUGCAAUAAUUUACAUUAAUGCACAACGUGAUUUAUUCAAUUUUUGGAUAACUCAGGGAAAGUUUGGCUAAUACGUACGAGUUACUAUAUUUAAUACACCAUACUUUAAUUUUUACUCAGCACUUAUUGGUAAAUUUUGGCAUUACAUUAUUUAUUCAAUGUUUUGUCAGUUUAAAAUUUAACUGCAACAUGAGAGACAAUAAGUACGCAUUUACAAUGAAUUUAUUCACUGUAAUACACGCUGAGCAGACUUUACGAAGUUUACUUUGUGAAGCAGGUCAUACAAGCAUCUACAGCAUCAAGUCACAGGGUUGGCAAGUGUUUUUUUGAACCUUCAGAGCAGUCACGCAUACGGAAGAGUAGUUUCUGAUCCCAUAGAAGGAGCAUAGUACAUUGAGAGACCGCUCUUAGUUCUAAGGAACGCAGCAGGCGCGUAAAUUGCCCAAUGCUAGUACCCUACAAAAUUACUGGUUAAUAAACAAUUUACUAAAAAUUACAAAAUAUGUAAUAACACACUUUUUAAUACUGUAAUUUUUAUUUAUAUUAUCCUUGUUCAUUAACUUCACGUAAAUUUAUUUUUUUACUGAGGCAGUGACAAGCUGUAACGGUUGAGUAUAAAAAUGACGAGUGUCUGGCAUUGCCGUCUGCUUUUGUAGGCUUGGCAGUUCGCCGACGCUUUGUGUGCUCAAUUGGAAUGCGGUGAGUUUAAGCAACUCAGAACCUUUGGAUGGUGUUUUAUUUUACUAUAUUAUACUGUUCAUGUAUCUGAAUUUCAAGUGGAGGGCAAGUCUGGUGCCAGCAGCCGCGGUAAUACCAGCUCCACUGGCCUAUACAAUCAUUGUUGCGNUAAAAAGNUNGNGUUGGAUUGAACCAUAAUUUNUUUUCUAUAAAUUUAUUAUUUACUGAAAAUAUUUCAACGACACACACACAAACAAACAAUACUUUACAUUAAUUUGUAUUUUAUAUUAUUACUUGAAAUAUAUUUUCAUUGUUAAAAAAAUGAAUUUAUUUUUUCUUUCAACACUGUGAACAAAUCAGAGUGUAUCAAACAUGUCAUUUUUGAAUGUGCAUUGAAUGUCUUAUCAUGGAAUGUUGCACUUUUAUAAUUCAAAAAUUUAAUUGUUUAAAACACACUCAAUAUGAAUACAAUUUUAAUUUUUGUUGUUUAUAAAAAAUGUCGAUGGGGAUAGUUGGAGUCAAUGAUACUGCUUGGNGAGAGGUGAAAUUCAUUGACCCAAGCAAGAUCACCAAAAGCGAAAGCAAUUGGCUAGGCUAUACUCUUUGUGAUUUUAUUAAUUUUUAAAUGUGAGUCAAUAUUUACACACACACUUUUUUAAUAUUGCUUACACACAAAAUUAUUUAAACACUUUACAAUGAAGAACGAAGNNUGGGGGAUCAAAGAGGAUCAGAUACCCUCGUCGUCCCAUUAAUUACUGAAAACGAUGGACUCUCAAUUGCAUUUUAUUUUUAGAAUGUUUAAUGCCCUCAGCCUACAAAAAUAACUUGGCUUGAGCUUGUACUCUUUUAUACGCUCGCCUAAUCAUUCUAAUGUACGGUCUCGAUGGACGUUUCAUUUUAAUAUGAAAUUUAUUUUCAAUUUGCGUGUAAGCAAUUUUGUUUUCCUAAUUAUAAAUUAAUUUUGGAACUCAUUGCGUGCACUUGAUUUUCGGAGCUUUGCGCUCAAUUCUGGUGAGAUGUAAGCAUCAUGUUACUCUUACCCGCUAUGAAUUAACUUUUGCAUUUUAUGUAAUUAUUAAUUUCAUUUGUCGUGUGUUAAGGUAACAAAUUUUAUUAUAAAUAAAUGAUGUGAAGCACGCUUUAGNCACGCGCUUACUGCAGAAAUGUCUGAGACUUUUUUCUCCGGGGGUAGUAUGCACGCAAGUGUGAAACUUGAAGGAAUUGACGGAAGGGCACCACAAGAACGCGUGGAGCAUGUGGCUUAAUUUGACUCAACACGAGAAAUCUUACCGGGUCCGGACACACUGAGGAUUGACAGGUAUUAUCAAUAAUUAUUUUACUUNAUGUUAAAAAUUCAAUNAUUGUGUUAAAUAUGCUAGUCCUUUCAUGAUUAUGUGAUAGGUGGUGCAUGGCCGUUCUUAGUUCGUGGAGUGAUCUGUCUGCUUAAUUGCGUUUCACUAAGGGCUUAAAAUUAUGUGCUUUAAUAUUGACCCCUCAAUUUUUAAUUGAGUGUGUUGUCUUUAUUGGUACUUCUAAGCUCUGAAAGCAACGAACGUGACCGCAACCCUUUGUUGCCUUUACUAAAAUUUUAUUUUUUUAUAAAAUAUAAUUAAAAAGGCUUUUUAAACUAGGGGGACCGCUGUAAUCUUUUUAAACCAGAGGAAGGUUGCGGCAAUAACAGGUCUGUGAUGCCCUUAGAUGUUCCGGGCUGCACACGUGCUACAAUGAUUUUUGCAGUGAGCAUCUCAUUUUUAAUACAUCGCUUGCAUGAUGCUUUAUAUUUAAAUUUAUUUUUAUUUAUUUCGUUCAUUUUUGCGCGAUAAAGCCUGCUUCGAAAGUAAGUGGGUAAUCAAUUAGAAGUAAAGAUUUCCAAAUUUUAUAGCACAAAUAUAUACGGCAUUUUUACCCGGCUUUUUCAUUUCGAAUUAGUUUUGUGUGUAUUAAUGAGUUCCUUUGUAUAGUUUGUCUUUUAUGGCAUUCUUAUACAGUACUUUAUCGUAUGUGCAAUUGUCAAUUCAUGGUGGGGACAGACCAUUGUUAAUUGUUGGUCUCGGUUUCAACUAGGAAUGCCUUGUACGGAUCUUUGGUUCAACAAACCAUCCGGAAUACGUCCCUGCCCUUUGUACACACCGCCCGUCGCUCUUACCGAUAGACUUCUCUGUGAGUUUGAGGGACUGGAUAACUUAUACUUCUAUGGAAACUUAAACGAACAGUGUGGUCCAAAGGAAAGAGAAGUCGAACAAGGCA
rnacentral:rRNA from 1 species